UACGUAGGUGGCAAGCGUUAUCCGGAAUUACUGGGUGUAAAGGGCGUGUAGACGGGGAUGUAAGUCAGAUGUGAAAUUCUUGAGCUCAACUCAAGCGCUGCAUCUGAAACUACAACUCUUGAGUGAUGGAGAGGAAAGCGGAAUUCCUAGUGUAGCGGUGAAAUGCGUAGAUAUUAGGAGGAACACCAGUGGCGAAGGCGGCUUUCUGGACAUUAACUGACGUUGAGGCGCGAAAGCGUGGGGAGCAAACAGG
rnacentral:rRNA from 1 species